GGGCCGGGACGCGUCCGCCCACCCCGCCGCCGACCCCGCCGCCGACCCCGCCGCCGACCCCGCCGCUCCGCCUGCGCCCCGCACCGGCCGCCGCCUCCCCUGCUGCCCUCCCGCCGCGGGCCCUGGGAAACUCACUGGCCCGCGCCGAACCACGGCCCAGGCCCUGGCCGCCGUGCCCGGCUGCUCCGCGCUGUCCGGAGCCGUUCCGCGCCCCACACCGGUCCCGACCGUCCGCCUGCUCCCCGCCUCCUCCGCGCCUCUCCCGGUCGCCGCCCGGCCGCCGCCUUUUCUCUCCUCAGCCUUGGCCUCCUCCUCCGAGCCCCGCCCCACUGUGCCCCGCCCACCGGCCUGGCUCGGCCCGGCCGAGGUGGUUUGCUCCACGGGGACGCGCACGCAGGGCCGGGCAGGGGCGUGCACGCCGCCCUCUGACCCCGCCCCGUUGCCGCGGAGCGCCGGCCCUGGAAACUUGGGCCCGAGCGACCUUCGCCUGCGAGGCGAUUUCCCCACGCCGGGUGUGGCUCUGCCCCCACGGUACCAAGUCCUGUUCGAUCUUACAAUCUUGCAGUCUCGGGAGAAGUCUAGAGCGCUCAUUUCAGAGGAAAUAGGCCCAAGAAGAGCGACUGGCUUUCUGGCUCUUAAAGGAUUGAGUGAUACCAACCUACACUGGAAAAGGUCAUCUACUUUCCUCAGUCCUUAGUCCACGGAUGCAAAUGCUAACCUCAUCCAGAAACACCCUCACAGAUGCACCCAGAAAUGAUGCUUUGUGUGGAAACCCCCUGCAACAGUCAAAGGGACGUAUCAAUUAACCACCACACCUCAACAUAAGAACAAUGAAUUCUUCCCAGGAGAUCCAGAGGGAGCAAGAAAAGGAAGACGACAUUUGGAGAACGAAGGAGACAUUGGCAAGGAAAAAGCAGAAGGUUAUUUUAGUGGCAAGUCCUCAGCAACAUGGAAGUCUGGGACAUUCUGAGAAAUAAACCGCUGCGGGGAGAGAGAAGGAAUGUGUACAUGUAUGCAUGUUUUCUUUGGAGGGUGAGGAAGAGGGGGAAGAAGAUGGGAGGAAUGAAAUCAUACAGAGGGUUACAAACAUUUAUUUCAGUUCUCAUCUGUUUCAAUUAUAUCAUACAAAAGUUUCUAUAUGCUGCCUAUUGUGAUGAUAAGUGGAAAUUUCUCCAUGAUAGAGUUGUUCCACUCAGCAUAGUAGCCUCUAGCCACUUAUGGCUGUUUUAUUUGGAUUUAAAUUAGCUUAAAUUAAAAUAAUUUAAAAGAUGCAUUCCUCAGUCACACUAGCCACAUUUCAAAAGCUCAAAGCCCACAUGUGUCUACUGGCUGUUGGACAGUACAGAUAUAAAACAUUUAGAUCAUCACAGAACAUUUUACUGGAUGCACAUAGUGGACCUCUACAACUCAGUUUUUUGCAGUAUCAUUUCUGUUCCAUGAUCCCAAAGAUCAUUGGCCAAGGAACUGAAUGAGAAAAUAUUGGGCCGUUCCUGGAAUAUAUGAGCACUUUUGCAAAAGUACCUCAGAUAUUUGCUUUGCAUCCUUUGCAUAAAAUCAAAGUCCUGCAUGUGGAGAGCUGUGAUAAUCCCUGCAUUUCAUUUGAAAACAAAUUUAAAGGCUAAGUGAGAGAGAUGAUUAUCAAAAGGUGAUGGAAUUGCACUGCUGGAUUCAAAUUUCGUCCUGUCACUCAGUAGAACACCUUAGCCUCUUGAUAGCUUAGUUAUUCCGCUUAUAAAAUGAAUAUAAUAAUAGCAUUUUCCAUAAAGCUGAUGUAAAGAUCAUACUAGGAAGAACAUGUAAAGAAUUCAAUUAGUACUUGGUGGACCAUAUACAUUUUAGCUAAUAUUAUUACUAAUCAGCUCUUUUUUUUUUUUUUUUUUUUGCCAAAUAGGCACUACAGAACUCUGGGCUGGGCUGGCUUUCUAUUUCUGAAUGUACUCUCUUACAUGAUAGGCACUUAAUAUCUAUUGCUACUUGUUUUUGUUGUCAUCCUUGCCCUUCAGCGGGCAGUACCUCCAGAAGGUGAUUAGCACUAAUCUCACAAAGCUGGUGAAUCAGUUUGUGGAAUGCAUUUUUCAUGCAGAUAGAGGAUGCUGGCAUUUUAACCUCGUAAUUGCCUUAUUCCUUUUCAAACGUUUUAGCACACAGACUCCAGGAGGAAAAUUAAGAGGUCAUGAGCAGUUACUUUCUGGUGUCUCCUGAGAGUAGAUUGAUGCUGCCUUAUAUUAUCUACCUUUUGGGUCACAGAACACAUUUUACUUACAAGAGGAAUAUUUAUAUUAGCCUGUUCAGACUACUAUAACAAAAUACCAUGAACUGAAUGGCUUAUAUCCAACAUAAAUUUAUUUUUCACAGUUUGGAGGCUGGGACAUCUAAGGUCAAGGAGCCAGCAGACUCAGUGUCUGGUGAGGGCCCAGACUCUGGUUCACAGACAAAACCUCACUGUAUCCUCAUGCGGUGGCAUUGGCAAGCAAGCUCUUUGCAGUCUCAUGUGGGCACAAAUCCCACAUGAGGGCUGGAGCUCAAGUGUAGCUUGCUGAGCAUGUACAAGGCCCUGGGACCAAUCACUAGCAACACACACACACACACAUACACACAUGCAUGCACACGUCAGCACACGCAUAUAUAAAGCCCUGAGUUUGAUUCCUAGCAUCACAUACACACACUCAAAUAUAUAGUUAAGGUCUCAGUUCUUCCCAAAAUUCUCUCUAGAUUCAACACAUUCCCAGUAAAUAUAUAUCUGGACAAGCUUUUAUUGUAGAAAUUGACACAUUGAUUCUAAAAUUCAUAUAUGCAUGCAAAAGAUCUAGAACAGUCAAAACAGUUUUGAAAUAAAGAGCAAAAUCAGGGAACAAACACCACCAGAAAUGACAAUUUAUUAUCAAUCUGUGAUUAUCAAAAAAUCCCAAUUAAAAGUGGGAAAAAUGGGUACAAUAUUUGAACAAAUGUUUCCCUAAAGAUUAUCUAUGGAUAUCAAACAUGCAUGUGAUAUGAUGUCCAACAUCAUUAGUCAUAAGGAAAUGCAAAUCAAAACAUUGAGAUGCUACUAUAUCCCUAGUAAAAUGUCUACAAUUAAAACAAGAUUGAAUAUAUUAAGAGCUGAUGGUGAGGAUAUGGAAGAAAGGGAACAUUCAUACAUUGCUUGGGGAAUAUAAAAUGCUACACCCUUUGGAAAAUAGUUUGUGAAUUUCUUAAAAAAGUAAACACUUGCCAUAUAACCCAACCAUUCUGCCCAUAGGUAUCAACCUAAGAAAAAAGAAAGCUUACAUACACAGUCUUCUACGUGGUUUCUCAUAACCAUUCUAUUUGUAAUACUCAGAAACUGUUAAUUGCAUUAACAUUAGCAGAUGAAUGCAUAAACAAAUUGUGGCAUGUUGAAUAUAAUGAAAAAGCUAUUCAGCAAUAAAAAUAAAUAAAUCAUGAGUAUAUGCAACAAUGUGGGUGAAUCUUAAAAUAACUAUACUUAAAAAGAAGUCAGACCAAAGUAGGUCCUACUGUUUGAUUCCAUUCCUACAGAACUCUAGAAGAUAUAAAAUAAUCUCCAAUAAUCUGGUUGGGGGAGGGAAAUUAGUAAGGGAAGAAAAGGGAGAAAGAGGUUACAAAGAAGCAUGAGGAAAUUUUUUUUUUUGGUACCGGGGGUCGAACUCGGGUCCUUGCCUUUGUGAGGCAGGUGGCAGAACCAUUGAGCCAAACCCCUGGCCCUAAAUUUUUUUAACAUAAUGAGAAUGCUCACUGUCUUGAUUGUAGUGGUGGUUCCGUGGUCAUAUUUAUAUGUUAAAAUGUAUUAAAUUGAUCACUUAAAGUAUGUGCUAUUAAUUAUAUGCUAAUUAAACAUCAAUAAUAAACAUUUUAAGAGCUCUCUCCUGCUUCUUUCUUUCUCUACAAUUUUUGACACGUGUCCCAGAAUGCAGGAAACUCUAAUGUUCCAAACACCACAGAACGCUGGAUGAAACUGUGAGUGACAUCGGGCACAUCAUCCUGCAGGGCUGUGGCCAUUUGCCUCCCAUGGUUCUUUAUGACUGGGCCAACAGAAAUGUUCUUACUUAAGGUUAAUCUUGAUUUUGUUCUUCUCAUUUACCAAUGUUGCUGU
rnacentral:lncRNA from 1 species